AACGCAUAUUGCGCCCUUUGGCAUUCCGAAGGGCAUGCCUGUUCGAGCGUCAUUAUCACCUCUCAAGCCUGGCUUGCAGUUGGAUUCUAGGGUAAGGCUGUGAUGCCUCGCCGGUCCUAAAGAUAACGACGGCGUCUGAAUGACCCCAGUACACUGAGCUCUUGUAGCACGUACUCGGGCGGAGUUCCGACCCGGUCUCGCCUUUAUUUCUUCUAAGGUUGACCUCGGAUCAGGUAGGGAUACCCGCUGAACUUAA
rnacentral:misc_RNA from 1 species